CUGAAGGGAGAGCAGCAGUGUUUUGCCCCUCACCAGCUCGGGUUACAGCAGCCCGGCCCCUCCUGCAGACACCGUGUGGGAGCGGCGCGGUGCGGCAUUGUGGGAGGCGCUGAGGUCUGCAGGCUGGAGCACGGCUGAGGUAAAGAUUCCUCCAGUUGCUCCCUGGUUUGGGGUCGCCAGGCCAGUGGGACCUUGGAGCUGACCGCUCUGCGUCUGCUGACAAGAGAGAAGGGAGAAAAGGCCCAGCCUUUCCAAGGACUGAUUUGAAUGGCUUUUCCUGUAGACUGGCUGUGAAUAGAUGUCCACCACAGCAACCAGCGAUGACCGUUGCGAGUGAGGAGAAAUAAAAAUGAAGUGAAUGAAUUGGAUGUAGCAAAGGUUUUAAAAGAGCUGGGAUCACUGGAAAGGCUGAAACAAGAGGAUGGUCACGUUCGAGGUCACUGGCUCCUUCACCACCACAAGAAAGAAGAGAACACCAGCUAAGACACGAAUUCAAGGAAACAACAGUUGAAGAAUUUGGUGAGAGGCUUCCUCUGAGAGUCAAAUGCACAAUCUGAGGAAAUAGGAUUUCAGUGGAGUGCUCCGUAACCCUCGUAGAUCUUCUCGAAGGUGUUUUCUGGCCUUGAGGUAGACUAGCCCUAACAUCUCCUCCCCUGUCAGUCCUCUACUCCACUGAACAGGAUCAGCCACCUGCCUGAUUGCCAAAGAUAAUGGAAAAUCUUAACGCCCAGUUUGUGCCCUUUGCAAAAUUUGCCAGUCUUGGCCUAUUCUUCUUCCUUUUUUUAACUAUGAACAAGUUAACUUACCUGUGACGGUGCUCGUGUACAGAAGUGAAUAGAAUUUAGUGUACUAUGAGUAACCAUGUCUACCAUGUAUAGAAGCCUUUCCUAAGACCCAGGCACCCAGUGAGGCAUCUUAUCCCCACACUGAAUGGAACAUGGCCUUAUGGAUAGCUGGCAAAGUCAGAAUUUUUCCCAGUUCCAGGUAAACAGAGAUCCGUUCCCUACUUCAGCCCCACUUAGCCCCAAUUUCCCUCUCCUGGUGUAUAAUACAGAUUGUUUUAAGCUUUCUUAGCCAGAUCGUGUACCUGUUAGGAUUUCCUGAGAUGCCACCAAAUGUCUUCGAAAGGAUUGAUAAACAGCUCAUGUUUCCUGUUUCUGAUUCUAUUCCUGGAAAAGCACCCAGCUAGACUGAGAGAACACUUGAAACCCUGUGACAUAAUCAGAUUGUAGAAAACAACUUGAGAGGAAGACUUCAGAAAACAGGCAACUGCGAAUAGCAGCCAACAGGGAGAGCAGUGGGAAGAAGGGAGAGCUACCCCUGGAGAUUCAUUACCAAGUACUCAGUCCUUCUGAAGCAAGGCAGGCAGGAAGAGUAUGGGACUUGGGUGACAAAGGAACCCCGCAGUUUGCAGUAUGUGAAACCUUACAACAGCUGAGAAUCAAUAAUUCUGACACAAUAUUGUGAAUGUCGUUGACAUGGGGCCCAUAUUUAUCUUACACAACACUUUCAAGUAAAAACGUUAAAAUGCCAAUAGGUCAGGCUUCAGGAUGGAUCCAUAGGACCUGGGACAGGCCCUCACUCUUCUCCCAGAUAUUUUUUGGGACUCUCAUGAGCAAAACUACCAACCUUUGUUACAUGAAGAUAAGAUAGCUCAACUUUCUACAUUCCGGACAUGCAAUGUGUGGCUAAAUGUAAGCCUGUCGGCAUCACCUUGGGCACCUCAGUGCCAUCUCCUUUAAAUUUCUUAGCAGCCCUUUGACAAUGAAAACUUCAGAGAUUUGUAUGAUAUCCUAUUGUACAGACAGUGAAUUACAAAUCUCCUUUGAUCUGUCUACACCCGUGCUGUCCCAAGCGAGCCUCACUGUUUUCCUGGAUGCCUCUCUCUUGACUAUCCCCCUUCCUGUCUAAAAUCGAUGUUAAAAUAUGUUUUAAUAAAAAAUUCCAUCUCUGCUUUA